GAAAGUUAGCUUGCAUACUUUUGCCGGCGAGCGGCGGACGGGAUGAGUAAUGCCUGGGAAAUUGCCCAGCUCGAGGGGGAUAACAGUUGGAAACGACUGCUAAUACCGCAUACGCCCUACGGGGGAAAGCAGGGGACCUUCGGGCCUUGCGCGAUUGGAUAUGCCCAGGUGGGAUUAGCUAGUUGGUGAGGUAAUGGCUCACCAAGGCGACNAUCCCUAGCUGGUCUGAGAGGAUGAUCAGCCACACUGGAACUGAGACACGGUCCAUACUCCUACGGGAGGCAGCANUGNNGAAUAUUGCNCANUGGGGGAAACCCUGAUGCNGCCNUGCCGCGUGUGUGAANAAUNGCCUUCGG
rnacentral:rRNA from 1 species